CUGCAUUUGCUCCAGUAAUACCAUCAUUACUUCCUGCCAGCCCAAAGAAGAUCUACCUUCGGAUUGUGCCCUUGCUUCUAAUGGUACUAUAGCUACAAGAGUUCAAAAAGGCAUUGUUAGCUGCGAACUCCACUCCUGCUGAAGUACUAGAAGUACUUAGAAGACCUUGACUGUUCUUGGCAGUGGCUUGGUUGAGAUGCCCAUCUCUAGUGCAUUGCUAAAGAUCUCCCUUGC